rnacentral:rRNA from 1 species
UACGUAGGGUGCGAGCGUUAAUCGGAAUUACUGGGCGUAAAGUGUGCGCAGGCGGCUUCGCAAGUCGAGUGUGAAAUCCCCGAGCUUAACUUGGGAAUUGCGCUCGAAACUACGGAGCCGGAGUGUGGCAGAGGAAGGUGGAAUUCCACGUGUAGCGGUGAAAUGCGUAGAGAUGUGGAGGAACACCGAUGGCGAAGGCAGCCUUCUGGGCCAACACUGACGCUCAUGCACGAAAGCGUGGGGAGCAAACAGG